GGGCCAUCAAGAUGAGGAGCCAGGGGCUGGGUAGAUGGGAGUCACCCAAGCUCAUAGAGUCUGGGGUCCGUGAGGCUAGAGAGGCUGAUUUCCGGUUCCCCCCUCUGCUGUGGGUCUCAGGGACACAGUCGGAACCGGGAGAUCGGCAGAG